GUUGGCAGAUGAUGUUAAAAUUUCUUAUCCUACAAUCUGAUUUUCUGUGAAGAUCAAAACUCCGCUUAUUAUCUGAUGCCUUC
rfam:Lupinus angustifolius cultivar Tanjil contig_23867, whole genome shotgun sequence.